GACGAACGCUGGCGGCGUGCUUAACACAUGCAAGUCGAACGGAAAGGCCCCUUUGGGGGUACUCGAGUGGCGAACGGGUGAGUAACACGUGAGUAACCUGCCCUUGACUUCGGGAUAACUUCAGGAAACUGGGGCUAAUACCGGAUAGGAAUCCUUGCUGCAUGGUGGGGGUUGGAAAGCUUCGGCGGUUUUGGAUGGACUCGCGGCUUAUCAGCUUGUUGGUGGGGUAGUGGCUUACCAAGGCUUUGACGGGUAGCCGGCCUGAGAGGGCGACCGGCCACAUUGGGACUGAGGUACGGCCCAGACUCCUACGGGAGGCAGCAGUGGGGAAGAUUGCACAAUGGGCGGAAGCCUGAUGCAGCAACGCCGCGGGCGGGAUGACGGCCUUCGGGUUGGAAACCGCUUUCAGCAGGGGCGAAGCUUGUGGUGACGGUACCUGCAGAAGAAGCACCGGCUAACUACGUG
rnacentral:rRNA from 1 species